rnacentral:rRNA from 1 species
GAUGAACGCUGGCGGCGUGCCUAAUACAUGCAAGUCGAGCGAACGGACGAGAAGCUUGCUUCUCUGAUGUUAGCGGCGGACGGGUGAGUAACACGUGGAUAACCUACUUAUAAGACUGGGAUCACUUCGGGAAACCGGAGAUAAUACCGGAUAAUAUUUUGAACCGUAUGGUGCAAUAGUGAAAGACGGUCUUGCUGUCACUUAUAGAUGGAUCCGCGCUGCAUUAGCUAGUUGGUAAGGUAACGGCUUACCAAGGCAACGAUGCAUAGCCGACCUGAGAGGGUGAUCGCCCACACUGGAGCUGAGACACGGUCCAUACGCCUACGAGAGGCAGCAGUAGGGAAUCUGCCGCAAUAGUCGAAAGCCUGACGGAGCAACGCCGCGUGAGUGAUGAAGGUCUUCGGAUCGUAAAACUCUGUUAUUAGUGAAGAACAUAUGUGUAAGUAACUGUGCACAUCUUGACGGUACCUAAUCAGAAAGCCACGGCUAACUACGUG